rnacentral:rRNA from 1 species
GACUCCUACGGGAGGCAGCAGUGGGGGAAUAUUGCACAAUGGGCGCAAGCCUGAUGCAGCCAUGCCGCGUGUGUGAAGAAGGCCUUCGGGUUGUAAAGCACUUUCAGUUGUGAGGAAGGUGGUGUCGUUAAUAGCGGCAUCAUUUGACGUUAGCAACAGAAGAAGCACCGGCUAACUCCGUGCCAGCAGCCGCGGUAAUACGGAGGGUGCGAGCGUUAAUCGGAAUUACUGGGCGUAAAGCGCAUGCAGGUGGUUUGUUAAGUCAGAUGUGAAAGCCCGGGGCUCAACCUCGGAACUGCAUUUGAAACUGGCAGACUAGAGUACUGUAGAGGGGGUAGAAUUUCAGGUGUAGCGGUGAAAUGCGUAGAGAUCUGAAGGAAUACCGGUGGCGAAGGCGGCCCCCUGGACAGAUACUGACACUCAGAUGCGAAAGCGUGGGGAGCAAACAGGAUUAGAUACCCUGUAG